UUUUAUGGAUGAGCAAAGAAAGUAGUUUCUUGGGAUAGAAUAUACUCCUGGUGAAGAUGCUGUGAA
rnacentral:pre_miRNA from 1 species